GUCAGGAUGGCCGAGUGGUCUAAGGCGCCAGACUCAAGUUCUGGUCUUCGAAAGAGGGCGUGGGUUCAAAUCCCACUUCUAACA
rnacentral:tRNA from 1 species